rnacentral:lncRNA from 1 species
AACUUUCUAACUUAGUAAUUGAAUACGAAUCAACACCUCCUUUAGUAUGCAAUGUCAUGCAAAAAACAAUCAAAACAAAACAUAGGUUAGUAUCAAAUAAUAGCGAUAAAAUGCAAGAACAUAAACGAUAAUUACAACGCAUAUACGGGUAAGUACUAAGGCUUGACGCGGCUCCACCCAAGGAUAGCUCUUAAGGUUCACUAUAUGGGUUCGGUUCUAGAGAUAAGGUACCCGAACCAGCAGAUUCCUCAAUCCUCACCCAUUAUAGGCUCAUAUAGAUCGAGUUCGGUUCAGGGGGAUACAUUUCCCUAUGACCAUGCGGAGAUGAAAAUCUCACGAAAUCAUAGGUACGAAUAUACCCUAGAAGCAAUCCACUAGCCCAUGCGGAGGUGAAAACCUCACGAAAGCAUAGUUUCUUACUCCCACUUAGAAGGUGUGACCACAACGGUCAUGCAAUGCAAUGCAAUAUUAUUCUACGAGACCCGAACCAUAACAACCAUACAAACAAAUGUGAUCAUGAUUUUCAAAACAAGUUUUCAAUUUUUGACAAAAGGAUAACAAAUAAUCGAUUUUAUGGCUAGACUCUCUUGUUCGGUCCCUAGCGGAGUCGCCAGACUGUCGAAACCAUCUGCCUUUUUGUUUUAAAAAAUUUUGAAUUUAAUAAAAAAACAGGGGAAUCGACUUUUGAAAAUAAAACAUGGAGUCGCCACUGAUCUUUCUGUUUUGGUGUGAUCGGAUCACCUAAGAGUUUGGUUAUUUUAAUAAAACAUUUUGGUUUACGAAAACAAUGAUUUUGGUCUACGAACUUUUGAGAAAAACGGGUUCGGGAUUCGGUUGCGCAUGAGGAAGGAUUAGCACCCUCACUACGCCCAAAAUUGGUACCAAACCGAUUAAAUACUGUCUCAUGUAUAAGAUUUAAAAAUGUUUUUGAAAUGUGAUUCCCUUUUUGAUAAUAUUUGAAUAACCUGAGUUGAUUUCCAAAAAUCUUCUUAUUUCGACUUCCAAAAGUUUAUAAUUCAAAAAUUACAAAAUGAUGCUCAACUAUUUAGUCCAACAAAAAACCGAAACCCAGCACAGUAGGGCACGAUUCCUUGAAUUUCCAAACAUUGAACAUUGCCUCGCCUUAGAAAAUACGAGUGAAAUUUCGAAGGGAUAUUCGAUUAUUUUGAAGAAACGGGAGAUUGCAAUCCAGCACGAUAGGGCGCUAUUCCCUGAAUUUCCAGACAUCGAACAUUUCCCUUGUUUUAAAGAGUUAUUAGAAAACAUGAGUGAAAUUUUAAAGGAAUCUUCGAUUGUUUUGAACAAAUGAAAAAGCGCAACCCAACACGAUAGGGCACGAUUCUCAAAUAGCCAAACAUCGAACAUUUCCUUCGUUUCAAAAAGUUUUUAGAAAACGUGAAUGAAAUUUUAAAGGGACAUUCGGUUAUUUUGAGGAAACGAGAAAUUGCACCCCAGCACGUUAGGGCACAAUUCUGCGAAUUGUCAAAUAUCGAACAUCGCCUUCGUUUUAAUAAAAUUUUUAAAUGAAUAAUUAUAAAACUAGCUUAAAACACAAUAAUUUGACUUAAAAUAAAACGGAAUUGAUUUUAAAGAUAUGGGCUUUAUAAAACCACAUUUCAUAAAUCGAGUGGAAAACAACGAUAUGGAAUAAUGUACACCCAUAAGCUACAAUGCCAAUUAUCAAACUAAUAAUCAAGUAUGGCUAAUCUAAAAAAAUGUAACCCGAUUACAAUAGUGCAUGGAGAAUAAUUAACAUAACAAUAUCAAGACAAAAAUUAUAAUAACAAUGCAUCGCACAAAACAAAAUAACAAUACACGAUAGUAAUAUGCCACAAUAAUAUACAUAGCAUGAUAUAAAAUGGUCAAUGCAAGAUGUAGAAAAACAACAUAGUAAUUAGAAGCUAAUGUGCCAUAACGAUUUUAAAAUAAUGAGGAAUAAACGGACACAUAAUAUAGGUUGACAAAUUUGUAUGAAAAUUAGGAAUAGAUAUAUACUUUUUGAAAUGGAUCUUAUAGAAUAAAAGUUUAAAUCAAAUUGCAUGUAAAAUAUUUUAGACACAAAUUCAUUUAAAAGUUGACAAAGUAGAUGAUAAUUUAAAUAACAUAUAAUACAAAAGAAAAACAAAGAUACAUGACAAGACAUAAUACACAAAAUAGAUUUUUAAAAAAAACAUAUGUACAUAUAAAUAGCUUUGAAAAUAAUCAUUUGUAAAAACCUAGAAAUACAUACAAGAUUAAGUUAAUUUUAUAAUAAAUUAUAUAAAGUUUUAAGAACAUGCUUAUAUAUGUAAUAAAACCAUAUGUAUAAGAUGUAUAGAUUUAGAAAUAUAUAAAUCAAAUAUGUGUACUAAUAUAAGUAAGUAUAAAAAUAAUUUGAACUUUAUGCAAAACAUAUAUACAAAACACGUUAGAAUAACGAAAUAUAUACCAAAAUACAUGGAUAGAGUCAAAAACCAUUAUAUGCAUGAAAAUAUGUUAAGUUUGUUAUAAAAUAUGUAUAUGUAUAAUAAUAUAAAGGAGAUAAACAUUUAAAGUAUACAUAGUAUGAUAAUAACAUUGCAAAAACGAAUUUACAACAAUGAAGAAACAAUUACAAAAGUUGCUUAAAAUGUACAAAUAAAUAAGAAUAAAAAGGGAAAUAAAAUAAAAAGACUCAAUUAAAAUUAAACAAAAACACACGGGGUAAUUUGAAAAUAAAUCAAUAAUGAUAAAAAGGCCUAUAGGUAAUGCGCGCAGCCGUGUAGAGACUCAAACUGGAAAUAUUCCAGUCCCCCAAAAUGCAGCACACAAGCGCGGACCAAAAUACAAACGCACACAACUUAUGGGUAAAACUUAAAAGAAAAAGAGAUGUGAAUAUAAACUGAUUUGAAAAUGGGGGGAAAGGGGAAGGCCUUAUGUUGAAAAUAACCCAUCAGCGACCAAACACUCGGAUCUUGAGCGUGUGCGGGUCGGGUCAUCGGGCUGUAGCCUUGAACACAGUCGUUUUGAGGCCAUUAAUUUGGCCUAAAACGGUGACGUCUGAAGGGCCCUUAUGGUCACCGCAAGAAACCCUAGAAGGGUCUGCAGCCAUUUCUAAAAGCAAGAAAGAAAAAAAAACUAGGGUGCCCCCAACCUUUUUUCGUUUAACAACCCUUCGAAGGUCGGUUCUCCUGCCUCUCCUUUCGAUUCGUUCGAGAGUCAAUCAAGGCUUCAUCGAACCUAAAGACUCGUGUGUCUUGCUCACGAACCCCGAAUCGCCACUUGGUUUCGAUCGUGGCGAAACAAGCGAGGAUUCGAAGGCAUCAAACGCGGGUAAAUUUCGUUUCCUUUUUCUUACUACAUUCGAUCAAGAAAAAAAGGUAAAUAAGAGAGGAAGAGAGAAAUAAGGGAAGAAAAUUGUGAAUGAAUUACCUUGUUUGUUUUCUUUCUAUUCUGGUUGUUUUUUCUUUUGUGUAUAUUGCCUUUAUAUGUAAGAAGGGAACCCCUUUACAAUCAAAAUCAAUAGGCUUUAUAGCCGAAUGUUAAAAAAUAAAAAAUAAAAAAUAAAAAUAAAAAUACAAUUUUUCUUUCUUUGUUUUUUUCCUUGUUUCGUUUGUUCUCUUUCAUAGGUACGGAGUACGGGGCUGUACGUUGUCGUGUGUACGGGAGUGGGCUGGCGUACGGGAGCUGGUGUGUCGUACGGUGCGAGGGUGUGGCUGCUGGAGGGUACGGAGGCUGGGGCUGCUGUCCGGUUGUGGCGCAACUGCUGCUAGGGCUAGGCUUUGCCAAAAUUUGUUUAGUAUUUGGGCCGUUUGGGCUCAUUUUGGGUAUUGGGUUAGUCUUUGGGUCAUGGGAUUGGUUUUUGUAAAUGGGCUAUGGGCCAUUGUAGUAAUUUUUUUUGACUGAUGGACUGUAAGAGGACAUUUAAUUAAUUAUUGGUUUUUUUUGUUUCUUUAUUUUGUAUUUUGGCUUUGACGUGGGUCCGUGCAAAUUGGCCUGUUUACAGUUAUUAUUUAAAGACAUUCUUGUAUAUCAUAUUGUUUUAAAAUUUUGUAAAUAUUUAAUUUAACUACCCUUAUAUAUUAUUAUACAUGUAUAGUUUAUGAUAAAAUUAGUUUUAUUCU